UUUUUUGUUUUUUCAUUCUUUAUUGAAAAUGUCUCAAUUGUGCGAAAUAGAUCUCAAAACAGUGUGGACAGAGAGAGGACAGAAAGAGAGGAGGUGAAUAUAAAUUAAACAG
rnacentral:ribozyme from 1 species